rnacentral:rRNA from 1 species
UACGAAGGGGGCUAGCGUUGCUCGGAAUCACUGGGCGUAAAGCGCACGUAGGCGGAUUGCUAAGUCAGGGGUGAAAUCCUGGAGCUCAACUCCAGAACUGCCUUUGAUACUGGCGACCUUGAGUCCGGGAGAGGUGAGUGGAACUGCGGAGUGUAGAGGUGAAAUUCGUAGAUAUUCGCAAGAACACCAGUGGCGAAGGCGGCUCACUGGCCCGGUACUGACGCUGAGGCACGAAAGCGUGGGGAGCAAACAGG